AUUGAACGCUGGCGGCAGGCCUAACACAUGCAAGUCGAGCGAGCGGCGGACGGGUGAGUAAUGUCUGGGAAACUGCCUGAUGGAGGGGGAUAACUCCUGGAAACGGUAGCUAAUACCGCAUACUAAUAGAUGAGCCUAAGUCGGAUUAGGUAGGUGGUGGGGUAAAGGCCUACCAAGGCGACGAUCUGUAGCGGGUCUGAGAGGAGGAUCCGGCACACUGGGACUGGGGAACGGCCCAGAAUCCUACGGGAGGCAGCAGUGGGGGAUAUUGGACAAAUGGGGGAAAGCUGAACCAGACAUGCCGCGGGUGGGAAGAAGGCCUUACGGGUGUAAAGGACUUUAAGCGAGGAGGCGUUACUCGCAGAAGAAGCACCGGCUAACUCUGUGCCAGCAGCCGCGGUAAUUC
rnacentral:rRNA from 1 species